AAAGAUAUUACAAUGGAAAGAGUAACUAGUCAAUUGGUUGUUCUAGCUUGAGAAAGGAAAGACAAACCACAUAUAAACGCUUAAAAAGCAUAGAUAACGACACCAUUUUUUAAAAAGGAAACAUUGAAUGUAAGUAUCCAUAAAUAUUUCGGAUGACAGAUUUUCUUCUUCAGUAUGAUAUUGAUGUAAAAUGGAUCAUAUCAAUUUUUAGUUUAUCAUCGUGCCGGAACAUUUGUUUUUGGACUUUAUCAGAUUUGCAAUUCAAACUUUUCAAUAAUAUAAUAACCUUUAUUUGCCAAAUAAAACAAAAUAAAUAAAGAACUGUCCAUUAGACAUAUUACAUCUGACAAAAUGUCAGUCGGCAGUGAAAGAGGGUCCUCAGAAAUACGGUCAAUCUGGUUACUGGCGUAGUAGUAUUA
rnacentral:lncRNA from 1 species